UCCCUCUUAGCUCAGUUGGUAGAGCGCGUCACUAGUACUUAGUUACGAUAUGACGAGGUCAGUCGUUCAAAUCGGCUAGCGGGAA